AGAGUUUGAUUCUGGCUCAGGAUGAACGCUAGCUACAGGCUUAACACAUGCAAGUCGAGGGGCAGCAUUUUUCUAGCAAUAGAAGAGAUGGCGACCGGCGCACGGGUGAGUAACACGUAUCCAACCUACCGAUAACUCUGGAAUAGCCUUUCGAAAGAAAGAUUAAUACCGGAUAGUAUACGAAUAUCGCAUGAUAUUUUUAUUAAAGAAUUUCGGUUAUCGAUGGGGAUGCGUUCCAUUAAUUUGUUGGCGGGGUAACGGCCCACCAAGACUACGAUGGAUAGGGGUUCUGAGAGGAAGGUCCCCCACAUUGGAACUGAGACACGGUCCAAACUCCUACGGGAGGCAGCAGUGAGGAAUAUUGGUCAAUGGACGAGAGUCUGAACCAGCCAAGUAGCGUGAAGGAUGACUGCCCUAUGGGUUGUAAACUUCUUUUAUAUGGGAAUAAAGUAUUCCACGUGUGGAAUUUUGUAUGUACCAUAUGAAUAAGGAUCGGCUAACUCCGUGCCAGCAGCCGCGGUAAUACGGAGGAUCCGAGCGUUAUCCGGAUUUAUUGGGUUUAAAGGGAGCGUAGGUGGAUUGUUAAGUCAGUUGUGAAAGUUUGCGGCUCAACCGUAAAAUUGCAGUUGAAACUGGGAGUCUUGAGUACAGUAGAGGUGGGCGGAAUUCGUGGUGUAGCGGUGAAAUGCUUAGAUAUCACGAAGAACUCCGAUUGCGAAGGCAGCUCACUAGACUGUCACUGACACUGAUGCUCGAAAGUGUGGGUAUCAAACAGGAUUAGAUACCCUGGUAGUCCACACAGUAAACGAUGA
rnacentral:rRNA from 1 species